UACGUAGGGGGGCAAGCGUUUGUCCGGAUUUAUUGGGCGUAAAGAGCUCGUAGGCGGUUUGGUAAGUCGGAUGUGAAAUCUCCAGGCUCAACCUGGAGGGGUCAUUCGAUACUGCCAUGACUAGAGUUCGGUAGGGGAGUGUGGAAUUCCUGGUGGAGCGGUGAAAUGCGCAGAGAUCAGGAGGAACACCCGUAGCGAAGGCGGCACUCUGGGCCGAUACUGACGCUGAGGAGCGAAAGCGUGGGGAGCGAACAGG
rnacentral:rRNA from 1 species